rnacentral:lncRNA from 1 species
AACCCUUUUGUUUAGCCAUAUUUAUAUUGUUCCAGGCUCCUGUCGAGUCCCGAAGCACUGGACCGCUAUCUCCUGGAGGCCGGCUUCGAGCAAGUGUUCCACACGCAACCCACGCCUGUACCACUCAACUCUAACGUAUCCAGAUUUGUGUUCGACGCGUCCAUAACACCACCGCCAGAAUCAGAUGCAGAAUCACCCGAGGUUGACCGGUUUACUGUCCAACUUAAGAAAGAUGAAAAUGGAUUGGGCAUCACAAUCGCAGGUUACGUGUGCGAGAAAGAAGAGUUGUCGGGUAUAUUCGUGAAGUCUGUGACUCCUGGCAGCGCUGCAGCAGUUAGCGGCAAAGUACGCGUCAACGACCGCAUCGUGGCCGUGGACGGCGUGUCGC